rnacentral:ncRNA from 1 species
ACAAAUGCAACGAAAAGGGAAAGUAAUUAGUAUAAGUUAUUACAGAGAGGGUUAGUUUGCUGAAAUAACCUAUAAUAAGUAUUAGUGAAGUGCCCCUUGGAGCAGAAAAGCCGAAGCAAGUAGGUUUUUAUGGGAACUCCCAUUACAGAGUUAGGGUAUGUAGUACCUAAAAUGAGAUGGAUAUUUUUAUAUCUAAUAAGAGUGGAACCGCGGAAGUAUACCUUCUGCCUCUGUA